rnacentral:rRNA from 1 species
GUUGCUGAGUUUACAUGCAGUUAUGAAAGUUAGAGCACAUACAUGCUUGAUUUUACUUCCUUUAAUACAGGGCAUUCUAUAAUUACUAAGAACUGAUUUGUUGAAGUGUGCCUCCCUAUUUUGUCCAGAUAACUACUUCAGGUUAGGCGGGAGAAAUAAAAAGGGUAACCAUAGAUAUAUGGUCUAGCAUCACGAGGUUCAAGUUC